rnacentral:tRNA from 1 species
GAGGGUAUAGCUCAGUGGCAGAGUGUGUACUUAGCAUGUGUGAGGUCCUGGGUUCAAUCCCCAUUCCCUCC